rnacentral:rRNA from 1 species
AACUUAGCAGAGAUGCUUUGGUGCCUUCGGGAACUCUGAGACAGGUGCUGCAUGGCUGUCGUCAGCUCGUGUUGUGAAAUGUUGGGUUAAGUCCCGCAACGAGCACAACCCUUAUCCUUUGUUGCCAGCGGCUCGGCCGGGAACUCAAAGGAGACUGCCGGUGAUAAACCGGAGGAAGGUGGGGAUGACGUCAAGUCAUCAUGGCCCUUACGGCCAGGGCUACACACGUGCUACAAUGGCGCAUACAAAGAGAAGCGACCUCGCGAGAGCAAGCGGACCUCAUAAAGUGCGUCGUAGUCCGGAUUGGAGUCUGCAACUCGACUCCAUGAAGUCGGAAUCGCUAGUAAUCGUAGAUCAGAAUGCUACGGUGAAUACGUUCCCGGGCCUUGUACACACCGCCCGUCACACCAUGGGAGUGGGUUGCAAAAGAAGUAGGUAGCUUAACCUUCGGGAGGGCGCUUACCACUUUGUGAUUCAUGACUGGGGUGAAGUCGUAACAAGGUAGGCGUAGCGAG